GGUUAUUUAAUCAUGAAAGUACUGGUAGAUUAUAAUUGUGUGCAAGGAGUAACAGUGCAAUGAAAAAUGAAAGGAUAAAGAGGUACAGUAAUGGAACCACACAAGCGGAAGCGGAAAGUGAAACCCAACGGAAGCGAUUGCCGCCGCUCAAAAUCUCCGGUGAGGGCAUCGUCAAAAUUCUUCAAGAUAAUAUUACCCUCCGUUAUUAAUGAGAAGAAGCUGACGAUCCCUAAAAAGUUUGUCAGGAAAUAUGGUGAUGAACUCUCUGCUGUUGCCAUGCUCACUGUUCCCACUGGCCACGUUUCACAUGUGGGAUUAGAGAAGGCUGACAAGAUGCUUUGGUUUUGUGAUGGUUGGCAACAAUUUAUGGAACGUUACUCAAUCAGUUGUGGGUACUUUUUAGUCUUUAAAUAUAAAGGGAAAUCAAGCUUUGAUGUUCUUAUAUUUGAUUUGACUGCCACCGAGAUCCAGUAUUCAUGCACUAUUCGCAGUAGUUCUGAAGAAAACAAUAAUGGAAAAUUUUGUCAAUUAUCUGAUGAGGACGAAAUCGAAGAUGAUGACUCUGUUGAAAUUUUGGGGUCCUUAGGUUUUGUUGGAUCUUCAUCUAAAAUUAGUCUGGGACUUGACAAAAAGGGUAAAAGUGCAGCUUUGCUGGAGAGCUCGAAACCCACUCCUCGAUGUCUAACAAGAACCAAAAGAUAUAAAAAAGAUCAGGAGCAAACAAUUGAAUUAGAGAAUUGGCAUGGAGCGUGUGGAAGAAAACCAAGCAGAAGCGAAACGUCAAACUGGCAUGAUUCUUUAUUGGAUAAAUCCAAGAGAAAGAACCAGUUUGUCACUAAGAAUAUUCAGAAUUUACAAACAUCGGCUCCAACAGUUCGUGAUAGGGGUUUUGAUCAGUUGAAUGAGAGUGAACUUAAAGACAAAACAUAUAGAAUUGAUGUAGAGGAGCAGCAUCCAACAAAAAUUGCAAAUAGUUCACAUGUCGCGACUCAAAGAAAUAGAGAUACAAGUUAUCAGACCACAAAUCAAAGAAUUGUUUCUAGGGGAUCAGUGAUAAACGAAGCAAGAGAGAGGGCAACUAAUGCUGCAAGAAUGUUUAAGCCUGAAAAUCCUUUCCAUAUGGCUAUAUUGCGUCCAUAUAAUGUAAACCACCACUUUUUCCUGAAUAUACCACUUGAAUUUGCCAUGAAGAUGAAGUCUUUGCUUGGUGUUUCAGAUAUUGUCAAGCUUCAGGUUUCUGAUGGAAGAGAGUGGCAUGUCCAUUAUAUUCAUAAAAGAAGAAGGCCAGUCGUAAGAUUAUGCAAAGGUUGGAGAACCUUUGUAAAGGAAAAUAAUUUGAUGGAAGGAGAUAUUUGUGUCUUUGAGCUGAUCAAGGUUAUGGAUUUAGUGCUAAAAGUGUCCAUAUUUCGCACUGCGGAGUAUGCAGGGCAACCAAACCUACCUCAUCAGUUUGAUGAAAGCAUAUAUUCAAAGACUACAAAUCAAAGAACUGUUUCUAAUGGGCAAUUGGUAAAACACGAAUGGUACUGUGAAGAAAUUAUUGGUAUUAACACUUGUUCAACGACUUGUUCGACAGGGGGACCAUUGAUAAACCAAGCAAGAGAGGGGGCAAUUAAUGCUGCAAGAAUGUUUAAGUCUGAAAAUCCUUUCCAUAUGGUUAUAUUGCGUCCAAAUAAUGUAAACAAUCGGUUUUCCUUGAAUAUACCAUCAGAAUUUGCCAUGAAAAUCAAGUAUUUGCUUGGUGUUUCAGAUAUUGUUAAGCUUCAGGUUUCUGAUGGAAGAGAGUGGCGUGUCCGUUGCAUUCAUGAUAGCGGUGGUCGACAGGCAAUAUUAAGCAAGGGUUGGAGAAUGUUUGCAAAGGAAAAUAAUUUGGUGGAAGGAGAUGUUUGUGUCUUUGAGCUGAUCAAGGUUCUGAAGGAUCUUGUUAUACAAGUUUCCAUAUUUCGCGCUGUGGAGUAUGCAGGGCAAGUAAACCAACCUCUGGAUUACAGUCUCGCAAAUUAGUAUUUUGGUGGUGUUAAGGAAAAGUCACUGUUUGAACUGGAAGGUGGUUUUUGGAUUACGGACAAUUCAAAAGAUUGUCUGUGGGUGGCCUGGUUUCAGAGGAGGCAUCCUAACUGUUCGAGGUAAAGACAGAAUGGCAGUGUUGGAGAACUUCUCUUCCUGCUGUUUCCUGGUCUUCCUUGAGCUGGUGUGGUUGCAGACGGAGGAAAUCUGUUACUGCUUGCAUUAUUUUCUGGAACAAGAACCUGUCCUUUUUCAACUUGCAGAAGAGAGGCCUUACUCUUACUUUGAUUUUUCAUCUUUGUUUUGGAGGUGAGGAUUGCAAUGAUCACCUGUUCUAUUGUUACUUUUAACAGUCAGUCUCGUCAGCACAGAAUUGCUAGAAGGCUAGUUGUAACUCUUCUCCGGAGUAUCUGGACUGAGUGAAAUGCUCGUCUGCACGGGAACAACCCUAGGGCUGCUGAAGACAUUGCAAAAUCGGCCUGGGGGGAAGUUCUGGAUAUUUCAAACUUUUAGUUGCAAGAAUUGAGGUUCAUUUUGUAAUAUUAUGUAUACCACCGUGGCUGUAGUUGCCUACUUCCACUUCCUUUGUUACUGGAAGUGGUGUUUCUCUGUGUCUUCUGUUUUGUAUUGAGAGGGUAUGCCCUCUCUUAUUGCCUGAUCUUUUAAUACAAUCAUUUCAUUUAGGAAAAAAAAAAAUCGAAAUAAGGUAUCUACAGUUCCAAGAUCUAAUCAAAUUUC